UGGCCUGGCGGUUUGGUCUGGAGCAGCUGAAACCGGUUUGAGCGGAGCCGCUUCCUGCCGCUGGGCGCCGCAGCGGUCCGACUCGGAGAGAGCUGGCGAGGUGCGCACGGCGGGUACCCGGCACCUCGGCCCGCGGCACUGCUGUCUGGCGCUGCGGUGGAGGCGCGGACCAGUGGACGGGGCAGGACAUCCUAAAAUAAAACCAUCAGAAUGACACCUUCUCAGGUUACCUUUGAAAUAAGAGGAACUCUUUUACCAGGAGAGGUUUUUGCAAUAUGCGGAAGCUGUGAUGCUUUGGGAAAUUGGAAUCCUCAAAAUGCUGUGGCUCUUCUUCCAGAGAAUGAGACAGGUGAAAGCAUGUUAUGGAAAGCAACCAUUGUACUCAGUAGAGGAGUAUCAGUUCAGUAUCGCUACUUCAAAGGGUGCUUUUUAGAACCAAAGAAAAUGAAAUUAUUAUUGAUGAUGGACAAUUUGGAAUCCACAAUGGUGUUGAGACUCUGGAUUCUGGAUGGCUGACGUGUCAGACUGAAAUCAGAUUACGUUUGCAUUAUUCUGAAAAACCUCCUGUUUCAAUAACCAAGAAAAAAUUUAAAAAAUCUAGAUUUAGGGUAAAGCUGACACUCGAGGGUCUGGAGGAAGAUGAUGAUGAUAGAGUAUCUCCCACUGUCCUUCACAAAAUGUCCAACAGCCUGGAGAUAUCUUUAAUAAGUGACAAUGAGUUCAAGUGCAGGCAUUCCCAGCCAGAGUGUGGGUAUGGCUUACAGCCUGAUCGUUGGACAGAAUAUAGUAUACAGACAAUGGAACCAGAUAACCUGGAACUAAUAUUUGAUUUUUUUGAGGAAGAUCUCAGUGAGCAUGUCGUUCAGGGUGAUGCUCUUCCUGGGCAUGUGGGUACAGCAUGCCUCUUAUCAUCCACUAUUGCGGAGAGCGGGAAAAGUGCUGGAAUCCUUACCCUUCCCAUCAUGAGCAGAAAUUCUAGAAAAACAAUAGGCAAAGUGAGAGUUGACUAUAUAAUUAUUAAGCCAUUACCAGGAUAUGGUUGUGACAUGAAAUCCUCAUUUUCCAAGUAUUGGAAGCCAAGAACACCAUUGGAUGUUGGACAUCGAGGUGCAGGGAAUUCUACAACAACUGCUCAGCUUGCUAAAGUUCAGGAAAAUACUAUUGCUUCUUUAAGAAAUGCUGCUAGUCACGGUGCAGCCUUUGUAGAAUUUGAUGUUCAUCUGUCAAAAGAUUUUGUGCCUGUGGUAUAUCAUGAUCUCACCUGUUGUUUGACUAUGAAAAAGAAAUUUGAUGCUGAUCCAGUUGAAUUAUUUGAAAUUCCAGUAAAGGAAUUAACAUUUGACCAACUACAGUUGUUGAAGGUAGUAAUAAUAGCAUAAAAUAUAAAUUAUCUUUUAGUAAAAUAUAAAUUACCUGUUUGUACUUGUCUUUGUAUCGUGAUGUCUUUGCACAUUUGGAUGACUACACACACACACACACACACCACACACACACACACACACACACACACACAGCAUGCGUAGAGUUUAUGUUUUGGUUUUCUGUUCUAUUAUGCAGAACGGGUAUCAGCUAAUCCACCUUCCCUUCUUUAACAAUUUCCGUGGACCCCAUUGGUUUUUGCUUUUGUGAAGGAGCUGGGUUAUAAGUCUUUAUAGGCCAUAGGGGCUAGCCAUAAUCUUAGAUUGUCUCUGGUCUGUUUUAGCGUUUUAUAAUUUUACACUUGGCCUUUUAUGUUAUUGUUGGUUUUUAUACCUAUGCUAUUAUCUAAGAUCCUUGUGUAUUUUUCCAUAAUGUUACAUGAUCCCUCUUCCUAUUCUCGUUAGAUACCUAAAUCCCUACUUGGGUAUUUGAUCAUGAUCUUAUAUGUAUGUAUAAUAUUAAAUAUAUACAUCAGUAAGUGUUUAUUAUUAAAGUUAUUAUUAUUAAAUAAUUCUGUAUUUUAUAAUUUUCUCUAAAUAGCUUUUCAAGUUAUAAUUCUGUUAACCAUAUCUCCAUAAACUAACACCUUUUUUUCUGAUUGCAUUUUGGGCAUUUUCUAGCUCACUCAUGUGACUGCACUGAAAUCUAAGGAUCUGAAAGAAUCUGUGGUUGAGGAAGAAAAUUCUCUUUCUGAAAAUCAGCCAUUUCCUUCUCUUAAGAUGGUUUUAGAGUCUCUGCCAGAAGAUGUAGGGUUUAACAUAGAAAUAAAAUGGAUCUGCCAACAAAGGGAUGGAAUGUGGGAUGGUAACUUAUCAACAUAUUUUGACAUGAAUAUGUUUUUGGAUAUAAUUUUAAAAACUGUCUUGGAAAAUUCUGGAAAAAGGAGGAUAGUGUUUUCUUCAUUUGAUGCAGAUAUUUGCACAAUGGUUCGGCAAAAGCAGAACAAAUAUCCGAUAUUAUUUUUGACUCAAGGGAAAUCUGAUAUUUACCCUGAACUCAUGGACCUUAGAUCUCGGACAACCCCCAUUGCAAUGAGCUUUGCACAGUUUGAAAAUCUAUUGGGGAUUAAUGCACAUACUGAAGACUUACUCAGAAACCCAUCCUAUAUUCAGGAGGCAAAAGCUAAGGGACUGGUCAUAUUCUGCUGGGGUGAUGAUACCAACGAUCCUGAAAACAGAAAGAAAUUAAAGGAACUGGGAGUUAAUGGUCUAAUUUAUGAUAGGAUAUAUGAUUGGAUGCCUGAACAGCCAAAUAUAUUCCAAGUGGAGCAGUUAGAACGCCUGAAGCAAGAACUGCCAGAGCUUAAGAGCUGUUUGUGCCCCACUGUUAGUCGCUUUGUUCCCUCGUCCUUGUGUGGGGAGCCUGACAUCCAUGUGGAUGCCAACAGCAUUGACAAUGUGGACAGUGCUUAGUAUUUGCUGGGCAGGGACCAUUUAGGGCAUGCACCGCUGUUCUGGGUAUUCACUUUUCAUCACUGAGCAUUGUUUAUGCCUUUUAAGUUUUCAGUCCAAUGAAGCAAUAAUGAAGUAUUUUACUAUUUCACUACAACUCUUGCUAGAAUUUCAAGUAUGCUAUUUGAACCACUUGGCCAGGUAUAAUUACCAGUUAGUCUCUCUACAUUGAGAAAAUGUAUUGGUAAAUAUUUUAAACUCAAUAUGUAAGUGUAUAAUGUUAAACAAAUGUUUGUUAAAAAUGUAGCACCUUGAAAUUAACUAUAAAAGUAUCUCAUAUUUCUACUUAUUACAGAUUUUCAUUUGAUCAGGUCUGAAAUAUUUAGCACUUGAGGAACACGACUAUGCAUAAUUAUACCUGACCAUAGGAAAAAUAAGUACCUCAAAUGCAUGCAUUUGCACUGGUGAUUCCAACUGCACAGAUCUUUGUGCCAUCUGUAUAUAUAUGUAUUUUUUACAUGGAUUGACAUGCACACCUAUACCAUUUUCAUUCAGUGUGAACCUUGAGGCUGCUGCCGUUCUCCCACUUAAACAAACCAAUGCCUGUGUGAACAGCCUCGAGGUGAUCCUCAAAAACUUGUUUUAUAAAUCUUUCAAAAGUUGUUUUGCAUAAAUAUUAAGAUUUCAAAAUGCUGCAGGGUAAUUUAAUGUAUAAACUAACUAGAACAAGUGUGGAUUGAAUACUUAGUACAAUAGAUCAUAAUGUAUAAAUUCUAUUCAAUGCAUGCUGUAGGUUCCAAGCAUGGGAUUGUAUACGUUUACUAUAAGUCCUUGCAUCUGUGGUGCUAGGUGAGUGUGAGAAGGUGUCAAGGACUGAAAAAUAUUUUGUUGCCUAAAAAAAAAGAAAAGAAAGGAAAAAGAAAAAAAGCCUGUUUUUAGGCAUUUUAAAUAUGCUUAAUUGUCUCUCACUACCUAUUACACACUGUUGCUUUGUGGUUUGUUUCGUGUGUGUAUGUGUUGUACAGUAGUUAAAUAUCAAUGCAGAAAAAUAAAUGUCCUGAAUUCUCAUAUUGGUAUUUUUUAUUGGUUAAUGUAUAUCAUGCAUGUAAUUUAUUUAGAAAUGUAGCAUAUUCUACUAAAUGUAUAUGCAUGUUUGGAUUAUACACAAUUUUCUUUCAUAAGAAGCAGAUUGUUUUGGCAUAACUGUAACUUAAGAGUGAAUGUUAAAUAAAAUAGAUUUAUUUUCUUCAUUAUAAGAUGAAAUUUCAAGAAGGUGUUACUUUUGUAUAAUUGGUUCUAUUAUUAUUGUUGUUAUUAUUAUGAGAAAUUGGAAUUUAGUGUUAACCCUGAAGGGAUAGCUUAUUUGCAUCUACUUUUUACUGUGUGUUCCUCCCUAGGCAGCUUAUUCAUGUAUUGACAUAUUUUGGUAAUAGCUGAGAACCUAAAACUGGGAUUAUAUGUUGUAUUUUUUUAUUUUUUUAAACCAGGCAGUGCAGUUUGGUUCAGAUCUUAAUUGUGUGAAGAUAGGCUUUAAAAUCUUAGGGUAUUGUGUUUGUAACACUGAUAUUUAGUGGAAUAUACUUUAGGAGAGUCUGCUACAGGGGUUUUGUAUGCUUUUUUCAUGUCGAAAGAGAUUUUCCAACACUUGGUGUGGAAAUUCACUUGGUGAGAAAUAGGCACUUCUAGAAAACUCCUGAAAAACAAUUACUUUUCUUGAUCUGCAGACCUGUGUACAGUACAGGUGCCAUUACGUUAUGGCAACUUGAUUAGCCCUGUGUGUGCAUUUCUAGCCCUAUUCAUUUGUUCCUCCCCUACGCCUUUCCAUUUCCAGCUCCAUUUUGUAGACUCGAAGUUCACGAAGGGAAAGAAUGAGGAGGAAAGAAGUGACGUGAGCGUCAGUUUCCUAAACAGUAUAGUUGGCUGAGAAGAGCAGCCCCUGCUUAUGACAAGGACAGAAGCUCACUGCUCAACUUUCUUUCCCGUCUCUUCCUGACUAUAAACACCAGGGUGAAUAGAUGAUUAACAGUAAGCAGUGGCUUCCAUAUCACUAGCUCUUGUCCUAUACACUCUGCUCCAACCAGACUGCCCUGUGCUGGGCCCCGGCCCUGCCACAUUCCUUCACUGCUGCUUUCUGUAGCCAAGUGCCCUCUGCCUGGAAGCCUCCCUGACACUUCUCCCUGCCAGAUGCACUUCUUCAAGGCCAUUCAUUGACCUCCAUCUGCUGCACCCUUGCCAAAACUUUAAGAAGGGAUGAAUCCAUUUUUUUUUUUUAAACUCCACAGCCACAUGUUCAUUCCUUGACCAUGCUUUGCAUUUUAGUACUUUCUAGGUAGGCAUUAUUGAUAAUUUGUCUCAGCAGGCUGCAGGCUCUUCAAGGGCAGGGACCUUGUCGUAAAAUUUUUUCUUUCCACAGUGCAUGGAACAUAGUAGAAAAUAAAUGUUGGCAUUAUUGGGAUAAUGUAAUUUGUAUCAAAUGAGAUUUCGAUUGUUUACUAAGUAUGUAAACUUUGAAUUGGUUUGCAUUUUGGCAUUUGGAACAAUUUAUUGAUGUCAGUUUUAAAUGUAGAGGUAUAAUGUUGUCUUAUAUUUUCUGGAAAUUGAGUGAAAUGUUUGAUACAAUGCUGCCAUUGUUCUCUGGUAUUUUCCACCCUCUGGAAUUAUGUACUGUAACCAACUGGAUGUAAAUGUGAGGAACACAGCUCAUUCCUAUGUCUGUGGUGCCUGAGGGCCACCACAGGCACCCGUUUACCUCACUCAUCACUCCUUGUGACACUUGUCUUCUUCCUGCCUAGCCCACCGCUUAGGCUACCUCAGCACCGCUCCCUUGUCUUCCUUCUGCGUUCAGCUCAGGUGCCACCUCCUCCAAAAACCUUCCUCAGCUUUUGACCAGAACCAUGAUGCUAACCAGUGCAGACAGCCUCUAAAUCUAACUAGUUUGCGGCUGGGGAAGUAAAAAACCCAGACAAGUUAACUGACUUACCAGGUUGGGACUAGAUCUGGGCCCUGUGUUCUUAAACAACGCUGCCUUCUGAAUUCUCAUGGCAUUUGUUAGCAUAUGCUUUCUUGUAGUCCCACCUUUCUUGUGCCUGUUAUAUUUCCCUAACAAGAUUGUAAGCCCCUUAAGGGCAAGGACUUCUCUGCAUUUCUAGCACUACCAUAGUGUUCUAGACUUAGUUAUGAACUAGAUAAAUAAAUGGUGGUGGCUACAAUCGCCGUUUCCUAACUCA